GCAGCAGCCGCGGGAAUACGGAGGGGGCUAGCGUUGUUCGGAAUUACUGGGCGUAAAGCGUACGUAGGCGGCUUUGUAAGUUAGAGGUGAAAGCCUGGAGCUCAACUCCAGAAUUGCCUUUAAGACUGCCGAGCUAGCAGGUGAGAGAGGUAAGUGGAAUUCCGAGUGUAGAGGUGAAAUUCGUAGAUAUCGGAAGGAACACCUGUGGCGAAAGCGGCUCACUGGACCAUUACUGACGCUGAGGCGCGAAAGCUAGGGGAGCAAACAGGAUUAGAUACCCCCGUAGUCCCUGUCUCUUAUAC
rnacentral:rRNA from 1 species